GGCCCCAUGAAAGAAAAAAAGGCUUAAAAAUAAUAGUUUGUUUAAUACGGCAAUUUUUUUUUUUUUUUUUUCAUUAAAUAAAAACCUUUUUAGACAAAUUUUGUAAUCAUUGUGUAAAAUUAGCUACAGGGCAAUCGUGAGAAUCUGCUGUAAAAUAUGUAAUUUUCCACGAUCGGAGGAUUCGGAGCAUGUUUCAUGAAAUGACAUGGCUAAAAACCACGAGAAAGUUACACCAUGUGUGCAUUUGGGGUUUUCCGUGUUAUAACUCGAUGAAGUUACGAGCGAAAAUGCUACAUGACAGCUACCUUACAUUUUUUUUUUUUUUUACUAAACUACAUGCCACCAGUGCAGUUUUAUGUGUUAUAAAUUACUGAGGAAUAUCUUUAGAUAUAAAUGACGGAUUCUUAUGGGCUGCGUCGGAUGAUAUCAUUUAUGAUGAAAUGAUGAUAUCAUUUACUCCAUUUAGCAGCGCGUCAUGGCAACAAAAUAACGUUAAGCCAACAACAAAAAUACAAAGAGGCGACUUGAUAAAUUCACUGAAUUAGUUCCUUCGCUCUAACAGUCUACAAACCGAGACAGAUGGCAUGUAAGGCUGUUGCCCACCGUGUUGUCUCACUGAAGAAUUAGUUUUGAUUGCAGUGGAGGAUGAAUCUGGAAAUGCAGUUAUAUUACAAAAUGAAAGACUUUCACUGGAGAGUUAGACUUUGAACCCUGACAGCAGCUGACUUCACCUCAGUAAGGCUAUGCAACUCUGUUGUGUAACACUUAACUGACAAUCUGUACUCACAAAAAAAUUUCUAUAUAUAUUUUUUUCUGAACUGUGGAUUACUAUGCUGUUUAGAUGAAGAAAAUUUAUGGACUUUGCUUGCCUUAAAAUGGACACCAGCUUGGAUGUCCCGCAAAGCAGGAAACCUCAUGUGAGAGUCUGCGCACGACUAAGGGAUUCACUUACCCCGUGCCCUUGAACAUCCCAACCGGAGAUUGCGAAUAUGCGUGGUAUCUGAUGAAUGGAGUGUGCUGCUCAUUCAGAUGAAAAAAUGUUAGGACCUGUAGUGGCUAUGACCUUCCAGAAUCUGACUGUAAGUGCCUGUGAGGACCUGCAGUGGCAACUUCACUGUGACAACAUUUAGACCUUGAGAGAAAACGAGAUGGAAACCAUAAUGGCUAUAUUUCAGCUGGUUUACCUGGCUGGGGUACUGCUUUAAUUGGGACUGGCAUUGAUUGGAAUUGUUGGUGCAUUGAUUGCUAUUUGGUUUCCUCAUCGAAACAGGUCAAGUGGUUAAAGAUCUGGACUGUUAACCAUAAUUUAACCAUUAUGCCAUUGUCACUUACUGUUGCACUUAUCUAUCAUUUUACUGUUUUAAUAGCAUUUAGCAUAUCACAGCAUUAAGAUUCUAGUGCUAGUUUUUAUUUUUUUAAUCCAAAAGUAAUUUUGAUACUGUCUUGUGGUACAUCCAAGGCAGAACAACUGUGAGGAGGGCACUGACACAAAAAUGAAAAGUUACAUUAUCAGUUAUUGUCGUAAGAAUAAUUAAAAAUUAAUAAGUUUUAAUAUAACUCUAUAAUGUGUAUAUAUAAACCAUAAAUAUACUAACUACAUGUACCCCUUUUUUCUUGGAAAAUAUUAGUAAAUGUCCCAUUCUAUCUCAUUAUGGUGAUGAUGUUAAAACCUAGAGAGAUUACUGAGCUGACAUAAUUAGUAUGCAAAUUAAGGUAAAUGAUAUUUUUAAGUUCUACUUAUCAAGCACUCAUUAUAUGGACAUUAAGGGGGACAUGUAUGUUUAGUGUGUACAGUACUCUACCUGCAGAGCUACCCUAAAAGCUAUGUCAAAGGCAAAGUGUGGUCAUUUAUUUUUAUUUUUUUCAAAGAUUUUGGGUCUCACUUUAUAUUAAGUGGCCUUAACUACUAUGUGCUUACAUCAAAAAAAUAAGUACAGUCUACUUAUUGUGUUCAUAUUGUAUUGCAAAACACUUUUGCUGCCACUGAGGUGGGAUACGGGUAAGGUUAGGGACAGGUUUGGUGGUAUGGGUAGGUGUAAGGGAUGGGUCAACAAUAUAAUUAUAAAUAUUUAUGUACACAAUAAGUGCAUUGUCCCAAUUUAUUUAUUUAAAUGUAAGUACAUAGUAGUUAAGGCCACUUAAUAUAAAGUGGGACCGGAUUUUGCACAGUACUGUAUAUUUGACUUUUUAUAGGACUAGGAUAAACGUACAUGUAUAAAUAUAUAUAAAUAGCAUGGCACAUAGUUCUUGAAAAAGUCGAUAAAUGUGUGUAAGGAAGAGAGUAAACAUCUAUUCAGACAUUGACUUUUUUUAUACUUGUUGAGGUUCAAUAUCUCCUCUCAGUGGCUAGGGCUUAUGUAAAGUAACUGUAACACCGGAGCAAGGUUUUGCAUCGUCGCUGUGGAAGCAAAAUGCAGUGAAAUGCUGUGCCAGUGAGUACACAUAAUUAAAUGUUAAUUAAAAGAGAAAGUGAUGUUAUGAAGAAGGCAUCUAACCAUAUCAAACUAUUCUAACUGUAUAUAAAUAAAAACACACAAGUUUGGGGAAGUCGUGGCCUAGUGGUUAGAGAGUUUGACUCCUAACCCUAAGGCUGUGGGUUUGAGACUCGGGCCGGCAAUACCACGACUGAGGUGCCCUUGAGCAAGGCACCGAACCCCCAACUGCUCCCCGGGUGCCGCAGCAUAAAUGGUUGCCCACUGCUCUGGGUGUGUUCACGGUGUGUGUGUGUGUGUGUGUGUGUUCACUGCUGUGUGUGUGCACUUGGAUGGGUUAAAUGCAGAGCACGAAUUCUGAGUAUGGCUCCUGAGGCUGUAUGUCACGUCACUUUAAUUUUUUUUUUUUUUUCGUUUUAGUACAGGGUUAUCCAGAAAGAACUGAAUUGGUUGUGUUGUUAUGUGCCAUGCUAUUUGCCAAGAAAGUAUUUUAAAAUAAUUGAUACUGAAUAUCAUAAUGAUUAUCAUAAAGGUUAUAUAAUGAUCCUGUUGCAUUUUAAAUGUCAUAUUAUGUGUAGUGACAUGAUAAAUAAUUGUAAAAUCAGUUGAUAUAGCUGUAAACAUCAUAGCAUAUUUAUUAUACAUUUAUAAAUUUAUACUGCCUGGCCAAAUAAAAGGUCAAUAUUUGGAUUUAAAUAAGCAAAUACUUAAGAGGACUGGAUUAUUAUCGCAGUGAUUAAUAUGUUUCUGGCAUGUUAUGUUUUUUAAAAUGUCUUUUAACCCUAGUCGAUGCAGCUUUUGUAGCUUUUAAAUUCUUAAAGAACCAUGUUGUAAGACGUACAUAUGUAUAUUCCAGGAUGGCAUCUUUGCUUUCUAGUUGUCUUGUUUGAGAGAUUUCUGUCAGUAAAAUCAGACAAACCAUUUUUCACUUCUUGUGAGCUUCUUUUCCAUGGGUUUACACUUUAACAAUUUGAUAUCCUCGUACACCUUCCAUUUUUUUUUCUUGAUUUGAUUCAUUUAAAUAUAUU
ensembl:lncRNA